AGUGGGAUUGCUGGGUCAUAUGUUAAGUGUAUGUUUAACUUUGUAAGAAACUGCCACGCUGUUUUCCAAAAUGGCUGUACCAUUUUGCAUUCCUACCAGCAAU
rnacentral:pre_miRNA from 1 species